GGCAUGAUGUCGAGUACCCUCUGGUGGCCGUCGGACCCUUUGCCGCCGGCCUGCUCGGCGAUGAAGCUCAUGGGCGCGCACUCAUAGAGCAGCCGCAGCUUGCCGUUCUUGCUCUUCUGGUCGCUGGGGUACCCGUAGAUGCCGCCGUAGAGCAUGGUGCGGUGGAAGUCGCCGACGAGGCUGCCGAUGUAGCGCGCGGAGUAGGGUUUGCCGGAGGUGCCGGGGUCCUUGAGGCUGUCCAUGUACUUCUUGAGCUUGUCGUCCCAGAGCGCGUAGUUGCCCUCGUUGAAGGAGUAGAUCUUGCCCGACUUCGGGAUCUGCACCUUCU
rnacentral:lncRNA from 1 species